UGCCAGUGUGUGUGUGUGUGUGUGUGUGUGUGUAUCUGUGUGUCAGAUACAUACACACACAGAUACACACUGACACACACAUACACACACUGGCAUA